rnacentral:rRNA from 1 species
AGCGAACGCUGGCGGCAGGCCUAACACAUGCAAGUCGAACGAACUCUUCGGAGUUAGUGGCGGACGGGUGAGUAACACGUGGGAACGUGCCUUUAGGUUCGGAAUAACUCAGGUAAACUUGUGCUAAUACCGAAUGUGCCCUUCGGGGGAAAGAUUUAUCGCCUUUAGAGCGGCCCGCGUCUGAUUAGCUAGUUGGUGAGGUAAAGGCUCACCAAGGCGACGAUCAGUAGCUGGUCUGAGAGGAUGAUCAGCCACAUUGGGACUGAGACACGGCCCAAACUCCUACGGGAAGCAGCAGUGGGGAAUCUUGCGCAAUGGGCGAAAGCCUGACGCAGCCAUGCCGCGUGAAUGAUGAAGGUCUUAGGAUUGUAAAAUUCUUUCACCGGGGACGAUAAUGACGGUACCCGGAGAAGAAGCCCCGGCUAACUUCGUG